AAUUAUCCCUUGGAAGGUCAGCUCCUGAACAGUAACUUAUAGCUUUUGGUCCAUUUAUAGAUAUGGAACAAUGUCCACUCUUGUUCAUAGCUGUGUCCUGUUUAUAGCUUUUGGUCCAUUUAUAGUAGAUAUGGUUCUAGCUGUGUUCUGGUCCAUUUAUAGUAGAUUUUAGUGCUGUUGCUGUUGGUGGUCACCUGAUGAUGUUGAUGUUGCUGUGUUAGUUUACUAUGCUAUUUUUGUUCAUGUGCUUGUUUAUACUAGUAGCAAAUUGAGGCCAUUGCAAUUCAUAGGAAUAUUCCAAAUUGAGGCCCUGGCAAACACAUGUAUUAAAUAUUCUACUGUUUUGAAGUGCUUGUUUCCUAUUUAUGUACAGUCUUGUUGUUUAAUUUACAAUGCUGCUUUUCAGAGAAGUGAGAUGGCUGGCUUGGAAGGUUUUGAGUUCUUCGAGAUCAUAAUUGAGAAAUCUUGCAGUAGGCAGGUAUAUUCAAGACAAUAUCUCCCCUUCACCCAUCUCUUUAUCAUCACUCUGCUGUCUAGUGCUUGAUUGGCACAAUUAACCACUGCCCGACCCUCGCUGCAGAGGCUGCCUGACAAGUUUGCGAAGAUGCUCGCCGGCUGUGAGCCCCACAAAGUGAAGCUGCGGGAGGCCGACAGCGGGCUUCGCAGGCUGUGGGACGUGUUGGUGGUGUUCAAUGGUGAAGGCCACAUGUACCUAGGGCCAAGCUAGGAGCAUUUCGCCCACGCCCAAGAGCUACAGCUCGGGCACUUCCUUGUCUUCCGCUAAGACGGCGACGCCAUGUUCACCGUGAAGAUGUUCGACAACACCAUGUGCCGCAUGUACUACCAGCACGACGACGAUGCCAGCAAUGGGAGCAGCAGCGGGGAUGACGAGGAGUAGAGCAGGGAUGAUGAGGAGCAGAGCGGGGAUGACGAAGAGCAGCCUAUUCUGGCUGACGACGACCUUGCUAUGAUGGUGGCUGACGACGACCCUAGUAUGGUGGUGGCGGAUGAUGACCUUGCUAUGGUGGUGGCUGACGACGACCCUGCUAUGGUGGUGGCGGACGACGACCUUGCUAUGGUGGCUGGCGACGACCUUGCGAUUGUGGUGCCUAAUGAUGACCUCGCAAUGGUGGUGCCUGACAAUGACCUCGUGAUGGUGGUGGCGCCUGCAAUCCCACAGCUUGGCGACAGGACCAUGCCAAUUGUGGUAGAGGAGUACAUCCGCGUUGGGAUUUGCCACUUUGAGCGCAUCAGGUUGAUGGAGAAGAAGGAGGAGUGAAGAUGUUAAGAAAUGAAGUGGCAAUGUUAAGCAUGUUAGGUUUAAGCUUGUUAGUGUAAUCUGAACAUGUCAAUGUUAAGUAUGUCAGGUUUAAUUUUGUGCAUGCUCAUGGAUGUUGUAUGACAGUGUCAUCUAAACAUGUCAAUUUCUUAAUUAUGAAUAUUCAGUUUGGUAA